ACCCAAUUUUGCAAGGGUCUCCAGUACUUAUUUCCUGAAAGAAUGGAAACGGAGCACGGGUUCCCACGGGGAAGGAGCCCAGAUAGCAUCUUAGGGUGAAGAGGCUGAGUUACACCCUUGACUGCCUCCAGAAGCUGAGAUGGAAAUGGUGCCUAGUCUUCCGCUAGGCAGGCAUAUUUCUCAGGUUACUAAGUCACCGGACCCCAGCAAAGGGGAACCUUCUUGUGCUGCUCCGGGAUGUUUAAUAGGGUGCAAACCCUGGCCCAGCCCAGGGCUGAAGACUCUGGCAAGGGGCGCAGGGAUAGGAAGAGAAGAUUCUGGAGCGGCAGUGGGAAGGGAGGCAUGUUUGCAUGGGGGAGAUGGGAUAAACCGCGCAUCCCACAGCACCAGGCUUUCACCCGCCCAGCAGAAACCCGGAGCACAGGUCCUCAGAUGCCAGCUCUAACACCUACUUCUGAAGAAGAACAUCUGGUUUAUUUCUGGUUUAGUUUGGGUCACUUUGCUUAAUAGACUUUCCAGGCCCACCCGUUUCCCUGCAAAUGUCGUGAUGUCACUUUCUUUACAGCUGAACAAUAUUGAAUCAUGUAUGUGUGCUACCUUCUUCGUAUGCUUCACCAGACAUCCAGACUGGUUCUGUGUCCUUGCUGUCAUGAAGAGAGCAGCAAUAUACAUGGAUGUACAAUGAAUUACAACAAAAUUUUGCUGGAUAUGUGUAUGAUUGUUCAGAACUAGAUGGUGACCCUCUCACCCACUUUCGGAUGCAGGAUCCAGACAAAUCAAACUGAAACCGUCCUUCCUGCCAGCUACCAAGCAUAAAGCCAGAAGGUGCUCAGCAGCUUGUUUGGGGAAGAGCUCAACAUCCUUAUUACAGUAGCUUGAAUAAGAAAUGUCCCCUAUCUUCUCCAACGUUUGGACGUAAUCCCCGGUUGAUGGCACUAUUUGAGGAGGUUUGAGGGGAGGGCCUUGCUAAAGAAAGUGUGUCACUGGAGAUGGGCUAGGGAAUAAAAAACCUAGCUUGCUUCUAAUUUGCUCUCUCUGCUUCAUGUUUAUGCUUCAAAAUGUGAGCCCUCAGCUUUCUGCACCUGCUGCCAUGCCUUCUCUUGUUGCCCUUACCAUCAUGGGCUCUAACCCUCAGGGACCUGCCACUAUGCCUGCCUUUCGCUGUCCUUACUGUCAUAGACUCUAACCCUCAAGGACCAUAAGCCCAAAUA